rnacentral:sRNA from 2 species
UUCGUUUUUAGAUAUACCACAUUUGGGUUUGAACAGGUGUUUCUCUUGUUUUAUUUUUUUGGGGAGGAGGGAGGGGGGUGUGGGUCUGUGGCGGGUUUUUCAGAAAGGGGCUCUUUAGACCCUUUUGGUUCAGAGUAGAUGGAGGAACUACAUGCGGGAGGUGAACACGCGAGCUUCCAUCAACCAAGGUCACCCAAGAAAUAAAUAUAUGGCCAAGUUGGAAAUUAAUUCAUCGCUAGACGCUCAGUCACAUAUUUAUUUACCAAAAUAAAAUAAAAUAAAAUAAAAUAAAAUAACAAUAAUAAUCAAAUCGCUCACAAUCACCUGGGUGGGGUUUGGAAAUUAGAGUUUCUCACCCAUCAUUUUGGACACAGUCCCUGUAUAUUUUCUCCCAUGCCUCUAUCCCACAUAAC